rnacentral:rRNA from 1 species
GAUGAACGCUAGCGGCAGGCCUAACACAUGCAAGUCGAGGGGUAGAACACUUCGGUGUUUGAGACCGGCGCACGGGUGCGUAACGCGUAUGCAAUCUACCUUGUACAGGGGAAUAGCCCAGAGAAAUUUGGAUUAAUGCUCCAUAGUAUAUAACUUUCGCAUGCUGGUUAUAUUAAAGUUCCAACGGUACAAGAUGCGCAUGCGUACCAUUAGUUAGUUGGGAAGGUAACGGCUUACCAAGACGAUGAUGGGUAGGGGUCCUGAGAGGGAGAUCCCCCACACAAGAACUGAGACUCGGACCAGACUCCUACGGGAGGCAGCAGUGAGGAAUAUUUGUCAAUGGUCGCAAGACUGAACCAGCCAUGCCGCGUGCAGGAGGACGGUCCUAUGGAUUUUAAACUGCUUUUAUACAGGAAUAAACCCUCCCACGUGUGGGAGCUUGACGGUACUGUAGGAAUAAGGAUCGGCUAACUCCGUGCCAGCCGCCGCGGUAAAAC